UCUCCUCCGUGAUCUGCAAAUAAAUAUCAAAUAAAUCCAAAUUUAUCAAAUACAUAUAUAAAAAAAAUAGAAGAAUUCGAAAUCCACCCCCUCAGCCCACGUAAAAACCGUUUCUUCCCUCACCCCUAAAUCUCUCACAUAUCUGUAACAACCCUCCCUCUAUAUUAAUCACAACACAAUCUCAUACAUUCAAAAUCGGAGGAAAACAAUAUAGAGAAAUCUCCUUGCAAUUGCAACUGCUCGAUCAAACAAAAGUUGAGAGGAAAACAGAACUGCCGUGAUUCCUUUUAAAUUUUGCUGCUAGGCAAUUUCUUCUCUCCAAAGUUCAGAUUGGUUUCGGGGCUGCUCGAACAGCGAGCGGACCACGGCAGGGGCGAACUGCAGACGGCGGUGGCGCUGCAUCUUCUGACGGUGGCUGACCGCAGCCUGCUGUGACCGAACCCGACACUGACGGCACCGGCGCUGAGCGACGGCGUGGACGCGGCCAGCAGUAGCUCUUCCCGGCGGCGACGGAGCAGCGGCGUCUGACGGAGGCAGGGGCUGGACGAUGGUGACGAAUCGGCGGCGAAAUCGCUGAAAUCAGUAGCCAUCUCCGGCGAAAUCAAGAAGCAGUAGCCAGCUCCGGCGAAAUCAAGGGAGAAGCCGACGGGAAUCUGAGAGAGUUAGCUUCAAUUUUGUCGAGAGAGAAAGAAAUUGAGAGAUAGAGAGAGAUAAAUAGAGAGACGUGGGGAUGAUGGGAGUGUAUAGUGGGCCUUUGUUUUUUUAGAAAUUGGGCCUCGACACUUAAGUGGGAUGUUUUGUUUGGUUUGGGCUCCAUUUAUUUUGUGUUGGGCUUUAAAAUUUAAGUGGAGAAAUAAGGUGGACUAAGUAAAUAAUUAUUUUGGGCCAGAUUAAUUAAAUCCUUGGGCCGAUAAUUUGAUCGUGGGGAAUUAUUAUU